rnacentral:rRNA from 1 species
UACAGAGGUCUCAAGCGUUGCUCGGAUUUACUGGGCGUAAAGGGUGCGUAGGUGGCGAAGCAAGUCUGGCGUGAAAUCUCCGAGCCUAACUCGGAAAUGGCGUUGGAAACUGUUUCGCUAGAGGACUGGAGGGGAGACUGGAGUACUUGGUGUAGCAGUGAAAUGCGUAGAUAUCAAGUGGAACACCAGUGGCGAAGGCGAGUCUCUGGACAGUUCCUGACACUGAGGCACGAAAGCUAGGGGAGCAAACGGG